UUUUAUCCAAGUCCGUCCGUUACUAUUUUCGUUACAGGCUUACAGCUGAUCGGCGAGGCUGUAGAAAAACCUCAAAACACACGUCUCUCUCAAUAGCAUUAUCGUCUCUCACCACUCUAAAACCCUUCCCGUCACCGCCCUCUCCGGCCAGCUUAAACUCCCUCCCACCGCCACUAUGUUCAUCGAUGAAUACGUAUCCAAUCAUUUCGUGACUCUUAAAUCUCUGCCACACCCUCGGGUUACAGUCACUAAACAAGCCCUUACUUUACGUUGUUAGUAUGGAGAAUUUUGGGUUUGAAGCAAGCUCCUCUGGUUCAUCUCAAUGAGGAAUUGCUUGUCAAGAAUAAACAUUCUUGAGGAAUUGCUUGCCAAGUAGUUCUAGAAAUAAGAACAUAUUGGAUAAGCCAUUACCAAGUAAAUUUGAAUAUUAACAUCCAUGGGAUUCUUAUUAAAUCUGUCUGACUCGUUUACGGGAGCAAGGGAUGGUGGAGGGAGAACAAGUAGCUCUUGUGCAGAGUGGUAAACAACCCAUCUGGCGAUAACAGUCCACCCACAAUAUCCAGAUCGAAAUAUCUCAGGAACUGAUCGGUAUUGUGGACAUAAUAUUACACGAUUUCAUGAUGCUAUAUUGAGAAAGGUUUUAAAAGGGGAGAAGUAUCUAAAACUCUACAGCUAUCGCUAUUUGAUUGAUGGAUUUGCUUCUGGUUACCCCCCUGCACGUGAAAUCUGAAUGGGCAGUCUGCAUGGUUCUUUAGGUUACUAGGGACUUCUCAUCUGGUUCAUGCAACAGAAAGCUUAUUGGCGCUCGCCAUUUUGCUGCAUCUACUAUAACACGAGGAAUAUUCAAUGCUACUCAGGAUUAUGCUUCACCUUUGAUGGUGAUGGCCAUGGAACGUAUGGAUAGAGCUAAUCUGUCCUAAAACACAGAAAGGCCGACAAGGAGGGUAUGAUAACAAAAACCUCUAUAAUUUUGGGACUUGGAGAUUCUGAGGAUGAGCUUAAGGAAGCCAUUGCUGACUUGAGGGCUAUAGAUGCUGAUAUUUUAACUCUUGGGAAGCACUUACAAGUGAGUUAACAUGCAAAUUCUUUGGCACAUUGCUUUUGUCAUUCCACAGUUUCUAGCCAUUUAGUCACAUUUGUGUUCGGGGGCAUUACAAAUAUACUGAAUAUAGGUUUGCAGAAGAGUUUACAACCGAGUAUAGAUUUGUGUGUGACUAAUAUGGCUUAUAUCCUUACAAUUGAGUAUCCGUUCUCAGAAAUUCUCAAGGCAAACAGAGUCGAAUCUAGAACCUGGGACAACAGAGGAUGAACCCUUAAGUAAUUAUCUAUAUUUUAGUAGUAUUCAAGCCCAAUUUGGGUCAGUUCUUUCAGUAUGCAAUAGUUUAUCGAAUUCUAAUCUUUUUAUUCUGUAGGUUGUUGCAGAAGUGUGCGGCACUUAUGUUGUAUUAUUUUCCGGGUGUGAAUUGAUCAAAGGGGUAUAAUUACUUAAUCAAGUCAUGAAGACUAACUGUAAUGUGUUGAAUUUGUCAUAUUCAUUAUAAUCAAGUAGAGCCGGCCAAACGGGCGGUUUGGCUCGGCCCGAACCGGCUCGAACCGACAUUUAGCCCGUAUUUUCACGUGCUGGUUCGAACCGGCACGAACCGGCACGAACCGGCCCGAACCGAGGUUUAACGACGAGCCGGUUACGGUUCACAUAUCUUCGAUUCGCGAACCGUCACAAACCGGCCCGCCAAAACUGGUAAAAUCCGCCCGAACCGUCUGGAACCGUGACCCGCGAAAGCCCGCUCGAACCGUUUGGAACCCGCGUGAACCGCGGUUCACGAACCGUGUAAACCUGUGAUAUUUAAACACAUAUUUUAAUCAAAUAUUUAAACAUGCUAAUCUAGUGCCAUUAUGAAUAAAUUAU